rnacentral:rRNA from 1 species
UACGGAGGAUGCAAGCGUUAUCCGGAAUCAUUGGGCGUAAAGGGUCCUGAGGUGGUUUGCUAAGUCUACUGUGAAAGAUCAGGGCUCAACCCUGAAGAUGCGGUGGAAACUGGCAGGCUAGAAUACGGUAGGGGCAGGGGGAAUUCCCGGUGUAGCGGUGAAAUGCGCAGAUAUCGGGAAGAACACCCGUGGCGAAGGCGGCUCUCUGGGACGGUACUGACGCUGAGACGCGAAAGCGUGGGGAGCGAACAGG